rnacentral:lncRNA from 1 species
ACAGAGGUAUGCCAAAAUUACCUUUGAGUUUUAUUUUAAAAUUUUUCCAGAGAAUCAGCAUAGGAAAUGGCUAGGCUGUAAUGAGACAUAUUAGCAAUUGCCUUUAAUAAGGAAUUCAGGCUUUAUCGUGGAACAAAAGGUAGGUAGGGGUGCUAAAUUCUGGUCAUGACUGUCUCACUGCUGAAACUUGCACAGAUGGAGUAAGAUCCAAGAGGGAGCAUGGGCUUUUCCUGUCCAAGAGUCAGGGAAAACACUGACAUGUAAACCUGUUUUACUAAAGUCAAAUAGAUUAUAUACAUGCGAAAUGUACCUGGCUCGCAUAGAACUCGCUGUACCCAGCUCAUGCGGGCCUGAAGCUAACUUAUACCAAUCCUCGUGGUUCUCUGCCUCCUAACCUAAGGACUGGAAUUGUAGAGGUGCAACACUGUGCCUAGCCAGGACCCUUCUCAGCUGAGUGCUUAUCAUCCUCACAGUAGUGCCCCAUGCUCUGUGGCCUGGAGAAAUCUGACACUGCCUGAAAUGAAUGAACCUUCCUAUAAUUAAUGGGGACGAAAGGAUUUGCAGGCUAUUAUCCCCAGCUGUCACUAUCAUUUUAAAUGUUUUUAUUUUUUAUCUGCGAUAGAAAAAGGCAAAGAACAUCAAUUUUCUGUUAUAUAUUUAUUGACUAUUUUGAAACAUGGGAAGAAAUUGAUUGUGUUAAAGGCAAAAUAAAUAGAGGUAUUAGGCAAGAGAGAAGCAACUCUGACUUCAUUAACUUCUGCAAAUUUACACUGAAAGACUAGGUUUCCGAAGCUCUAACUGCUGACAUGAUUGUAGAAGACACAGGCCAUGAGUGAGUGGCUGAGGAGCAUGGUGAGGGUAUCUUGCAGAGAUGCAUGUGCUGGUCUGUGAGGGGCCUUACUUUCCAGGGUGUCAUGUUCUUUUUACUGUUACUUAUCAAUUCAGUAUUAGCUUAGGGAAUAUAUCCUUAUUACAUUCACAUUCAUUUGUACUAGUAUGUCUGCCUAGAGGAAGAGUUUUGUAAUGCUCAUGUGGUGCUUUUGAGCUUUUUCAUUUAUAAUAAUGGUAUGCAGUUGCACAUAUAAACUUUCUUUGUAAGGAGGUACAGCUAAGAAAUCGUGUUUUCUAAAAUGACAUUUUGUAAAAAUUGGAGAUGGAAGGGAGUAUAAUGCAUAGAAAUUUUUGUCUUUCAAAAUAAAAUUAAAAAACAAGCAAACAAACAUGUAUAUUGUGGACAUAUAUUUACUAAUAUAGUUUUGUGUGUGUACUAUUUCAGUGCACUGUGUAAGCCAGAAUAACAAACAGGUUGUCAGCAUGCAACACUUGUAAUGGCCCUGAAUUAUAUUCUUUGUGGGGGUUGGGAGGGACAGAAGAGGUUGGUACGCAAAUAUUGUUAUAAUCUAGCUGAGUACACAUUUCUACAAUAAAAUCCUACUGGGGAAUAACAGCAUUUUCACAUACUCUGGUAACAGAGCUACUUUUUCAAAGUUUAUUGUCAAAGCGUAUAGUUAACUCCUUAACUCCAGCUGUGAAGAAAAGCAGUUUUUAUACAGAAAUAAAUUAAAGAUGAUUCAAGCUGACCCAAGUGCAUGUCAAGCACUUUAACAGGGUAGUUUUUGAAAUUGCUGACAAUCUAGGCUUAGCCUGGGUCCAAACAGAAAUAUCUUACUACUGAUGCUAUUAGCAUUAAAUAUUCCUCUAGUAAACCAUUUCCAUAAGUACAUCUCAAUUACCACAAAGAUUUUAUUGCAACAUGCCCGAGUGGUCAUUUACAUUUGCAGCCUUUGAUUCCAGAAAAAGAUUUUCUGAGGUGAUGUUUCACUAAUCACAUCGUUCAACCUUGUAAUCUUGCAUUGAGAAAACUCUUUUCUUUGAGCUGGCCUCCCAAAGGGAGCAUCUCCAUUGUGAGAAGAAGUUCAGGGUGUUAACUCCUGAGUCCUUCCUUGCCUUAACCCAUCACUUCCCAGUAUUCUGCCCAUUCGUUGCUGGGCUCCCUCCCUUUUAUUCCCUUCUAGGCCUUUCUGGUGUGUAGUGAGAUUGCUGCAGUUGUUACUUCAUAAUUUUGUAUUAUCCCAUAAACUGAUUCUAGCCUCCCUGUUGUAAUUUUAUAGAUUAAUGUCCUAUUCUCUAUGGUGCAUGGCAUUGCUAAUGCUUGAGCUUUUAAUCCUUUCUUCUCCACAGUUUGCUUUAAUAGCUCUUUUUCACUUUGUUCUUAUUUGUGUUUAACAAAGUUAUUUUUAUUUAGUUUUUCAUUUGCUUGUAUAUUUACUAUUUAAUACCUACUUUACACACACACAUACCCUUCUCUCAUCCCACCCCAACAUACAGGUGCACACACAGACCCUUUAGUUUUUGUACCUUUUUCAGAUCUCACCUGCAUCUCGGCAUACUGCCAGUGCACGGGACUGAGCAAGGCUCAGCACACUUCUUGAACUUCUUUUUGCUGAAACUCCUUCUGUAAAAAAAUGCCAGGUUUGUUAUUUUUGAAAAAUGUGCUUAUCUUUUUCUGUCGACCUAACUCUUCCUUUAAUAGGCAGAAGACCUUAUACAUAAACAUGUAACAAAUUAUUGAUUUUCUAAAUUUCAGUGGUUCUUAACUUUACUUGUGCUGCAACCCUUUAAUACAGUUUCUUAUGUUGUGACUGCCAAGCAUAAAAUGAUUUUUGUUGCUACUUCAUAGCUGCAGUUUUGUUCCUGUUAUGAACCAUAAUGUCAAUAUGUGAUAUCCGUGAGUCAUGACACACAGGGUGAGAAUUGGCUUGAUCGGAUGGUCGAAUGGAGACGAUGAAAUUUAACGAAAGAAUAUAGAUUCCUGGUUUGCUAUAAACAUUACCUUUCAUUACCUACAAUCAAGAGCUUAAUAUAGAUUGGUUGUGCUUUUUAGUUGCUGAAGUUGCAAGUUGCUUACGUGUUAACCUCUGGCUCUCCUGCUUGCUGUAGUUCUGUGUUACGUGCUCGCUGAUGGAAAGGCAGUGAGGUUCUGUAGCAGGGAUAGUGCCAAGUGAGAGCUAAUGUUGAUGCACUGAUUUUGUAGGAAACCGAGCAUGCUACUAAUUUCUCCCUGUAUUUUAAUAUUGCUUUCUAGUUCAUCAUUCUUGUUGUGGAUAGCAUUGACAGGGAACGCCUGGCUAUU